rnacentral:lncRNA from 1 species
CACUAGAUGUAUGUAAUCUCUAUAAGUCUAGCCCCUGUGUCUGUUUCUAGGAAUGAUUCUAGAAUCCGAUUCAAUAUAAAAUGUGGGUGGGCUCACGUAUUAGUCUUCUAUGUAUAUACAAUCAAUAUACAUACUCAUGAAAAGAAUAAAGAGUAGGUGAGUUGAUACGAUAGAAGGCAUGCAUAUUGAUGGCUAGUAUAGAAGACAUGCAUGUUGAUGCUAGUACUUACCUAGUUUUUGAUGGCUUUACGUUAUGGAAGAAACAAAUGUAUAUGUGAUAUUAGAUAUUUACUAGUUAUAUAGGACUGUUCCUAAUAUAUAUAUAUUAUUAUAUACCCUUACCCUAUAUAUAUAUAUAUUAUUGA